UGGGGAAUUUUGGACAAUGGGCGAAAGCCUGAUCCAGCAAUGCCGCGUGCAGGAUGAAGGCCUUCGGGUUGUAAACUGCUUUUGUACGGAACGAAAAAGCUCCUUCUAAUACAGGGGGCCCAUGACGGUACCGUAAGAAUAAGCACCGGCUAACUACGUGCCAGCAGCCGCGGUAAUACGUAGGGUGCGAGCGUUAAUCGGAAUUACUGGGCGUAAAGCGUGCGCAGGCGAUUAUGUAAGACAGAUGUGAAAUCCCCGGGCUCAACCUGGGAACUGCAUUUGUGACUGCAUGGCUAGAGUACGAUAGAGGGGGAUGGAAUUCCGCGUGUAGCGGUGAAAUGCGCAGAGAUAUGGAGGGACACCAGUGGCGAAGGCGACUUUCUGGUCUGUAACUGACGCUGAUGUGCGAAAGCGUGGGGAUCAAACAGGAUUAGAUACCCUGGUAGUCCACGCCGUAAACGAUGAGUGCUAAGUGUUAGGGGGUUUCCGCCCCUUAGUGCUGCAGCUAACGCAUUAAGCACUCCGCCUGGGGAGUACGACCGCAAGGUUG
rnacentral:rRNA from 1 species